UCUUCUCUCUCUUUCUCAAACCUCUUCAGAGCUUCUUCUCUCUCUUUCUCAAACCUCUCAACUUCUUCAUCUGUCUCUGGAUCACCCACACACCACACCAUGGCGAACACCAAAUCUUCAGCUUCAUCUCUCUCUUUCUCACUCACACAGAACACCACACCAUGGGGAGACUUCAUCUUUGUCUUUCUGACUCAAACAUUCAGAUCUACUCAAAAAAUAAUCUUUUUGGUUCUUUUAUGUUGGAUCUCGAGUUUUGAUCUCGAUUUUGCUCUUAGAUCUACUUUGUAUUUGUUUUACGAGACUUCAUCUCUAUCUUUCUGACUCAAACAUUCAUAUCUACUCAAAAAAUAAUCUUUUUGGUUCUUUUCUGCAGGAUCUCGAGUUUUGAUCUCGAUUUUGCUCUUAGAUCUACUUUGUAUUUGUUUUAUUUUUGUGUUGCAUUGAUGUUUUGCUCUCAGAAUCAUGAGCAACGUGAAGAACACAAAAAAAGGUAACAUUUUCUGUGAUUUUUCGUUCUUCUACCAUAUUUAACUAAUCUUCUUUGUUGUAUCGAGGUUUUUGUCUCAGAUCUACUGUUUGAUGAAUUUGUUCUUCUCAUAUAUACUUUUCUUUUGGUUAUUUUUUCCUCUUAUAUUCUUGAGCACCUUCACGAGACUUAAAAAAAAGGUAACCACUUCUCAUUUUUGUUCUUCUUCUACCUUCUUGUGUUUCUUUCUAUAUUUUUUUGUUUGAUGCAUAUUUUUCUCUGAUAUCUACUUAUUUUUGUUUUAUUUUUUUGGUGCAUCUAUGUUUUUCUUUCAGAUCUACUUUUCUUUUGUUACGAGAUUUGUUGGAUUUAGUUUUUUUUUUCAGAUCUAUUUCUCUUUUGAAUGGUUUAUUUGCUCUCAGAUUUCUUUUUCCAUGUAUAUUGUUCGAUGCAUUUUUUUCUUCUCAGAUCUACCUUUCUUUUGGUAAUGUUUUGCUCUAAGAGCCUUGAGCAACUUGACGAAUACAAAAAAAGUAACAAGAAUUUUUUUUUUCGUUCUUCUACCAUCUUCUCAGAUCUACUUUGUUUUCUAUUAUUUUUGUUUUUCGUGGAUAUUUUUCUGUAAGAUCUACUUAUUUUUGUUCGUGAAUUUUUUCAGAUUUUCUUUUAUUUGUUGACAAAAUGUGUUGGGUCGAGAUUUUUUUCUCAGAUCUACUGUUUGAUGGAUUUUUUCUUCUCAUAUCUUUUUUGUUGAUGUUUUCCUCUGAGAUUUUUGAGGACCUUCACCGUACUAAAAAUAAGGUAACAACUUCUAAUUUUUGUUUUCUCAUAUCUACUACCAUCUUCUCAAAUCUACUUUGUUUUUUAUUAUUUUUAUUUUUCAUGGAUAUUUUUCGGUAACAUCUACUUAUUUUUGUUCGGUGGAUUUUUCAGAUUUACUUUUCUUUGUUGACAAAAUGUGUUGGGACGAGAUUUUUUUCUCAGAUCUACUGUUGGAUGGAUUUGUUCUUCUCAGAUAUACUUUUUUUGUUGUUGAUGUUUUCCUUUGAGAUUUUUUAGGACCUUCAUUGUACUUAAAACAAGGUAACAACUUCUAAUUUUUGUUGUUCUUCUACCAUCUUCUCAGAUCUUAUUUUUUUUCUAUUAUUUUUCUUUUUUAUGGAUAUUUUUGUCUGAGAUCUACUUAUUUUUGUUCUAUUUUUUUGUUAGAUAAAUGUUUUGUUUUCAAAUCUACUUUACUUUGUUGCAUUUAUCUAUUUGAUUGGUAUUUUUUUUCUCAGAUUUACUUUGUUGUUCGUAUUUUCGUUCUUCUACAUAGUAAAGAUUGAAUCUUUUAACCUUUCAUUCUUUGACGACAACAAUAAAGACAUAUAGAUAUAUCAAUGGACACUCACUACACCAAGUUUACUAGCUGCAAAAUUUAAAGAUGGUUUCAUUACAGUUCAUUUACAAGAAAAGGUAACUUUUGCAUCUUCCAAAGCAUACUCAAGUGUGAAAAGAUAACAACAGAUUUCUUGUCGCACACCUUUUGGCUGCAGCAUGCAACAGUCAAUGCUCUCUCGUGGUGUCUUCUCACACCAAUUUUUUAUUAUUUAGGAUUAUUAUUUUAUGAGUUGUAUUUUGCUAUUUUAAUUUUAA